CAUGUCUAGUGUAGCAUUAUACGGCCAAACUGCGAAUGGCUCAUUAUAUCAGUUAUCGUUUACUUGAUAGCACCUAUCCUACUUGGAUAACCGUGGUAAUUCUAGGGCUAAUACAUGCUACAACUCCCGACUUCGGAAGGGAUGCAUUUGUUGGAUACAGAACCAAUGCCCUCCGGGGCUCUCUGGUGAAUCACAGCAACUUAGCGGAUCGCACGGCCUUGCGCCGGCGAUGGUUCAUUCAAAUUUCUGCCCUAUCAACUUUCGACGGCUGGGUAUUGGCCAGCCCUGGUGACAACGGGUAACGGAGGGUUAGGGCUCGACCCCGGAGAAGGAGCCUGAGAGACGGCUACUACAUCCAAGGAAGGCAGCAGGCGCGCAAAUUACCCAAUCCCGACUCGGGGAGGUACGUUUUCUCUCUCUCUCCUCUUUCUUCUCUUCACGCUGCUAACAUCCCCUAUAGGUAGUGACAAUAAAUACUGAUCCAGGGCUCUUUUGGGUCUUGGAAUUGGAAUGAGUACAAUUUAAAUCCCUUAACGAGGAACAAUUGGAGGGCAAGUCUGGUGCCAGCAGCCGCGGUAAUUCCAGCUCCAAUAGCGUAUAUUAACGUUGUUGAGGUUAAAAAGCUCGUAGUUGAACCUUGGCCUCGGCUAGCCGGUCCGCCUCACCGCGAGUACUGGUUCGGCCGGGGCUUUCCCUCUGGGGAACCUCAUGCCCUUCACUGGGUGUGCUGGGGAACCAGGACGUUUACUGUGAACAAAUCAGAUCGCUCAAAGAAGGCCUUCGCUCGGAUGCAUUAGCAUGGAAUAAUAGAAUAGGACGUGCGGUUCUAUUUUGUUGGUUUCUAGGACUGCCGUAAUGAUUAAUAGGGACAGUCGGGGGCGUCCGUAUUCAAUUGUCAGAGGUGAAAUUCUUGGACCAAUUGAAGACGAACUACUGCGAAAGCAUUCGCCAAGGAUGUUUUCAUUAAUCAGAACGAAAGUUAGGGGAUCGAAGACGAUCAGAUACCGUCGUAGUCUUAACCAUAAACUAUGCCGAUUAGGGAUCGGACGAUGUUAUUUUUUGACUCGUCGGCACUUACGAUAAAUCAAAAUGUUGGGCU
rnacentral:rRNA from 2 species